AGAGUUUGAUCCUGGCUCAGAACGAACGCUGGCGGCAGGCCUUAUACAUGCAAGUCGAGCGCAUCCUUCGGGAUGAGCGGCGGACGGGUGAGUAACGCGUGGGAAUGUGCCCUUCUCUACGGAAUAGCCACUGGAAACGGUGAGUAAUACCGUAUACGCCCUCAGGGGGAAAGAUUUAUCGGAGAAGGAUCAGCCCGCGUUAGAUUAGGUAGUUGGUGGGGUAAUGGCCUACCAAGCCUACGAUCUAUAGCUGGUUUUAGAGGAUGAUCAGCCACACUGGGACUGAGACACGGCCCAGACUCCUACGGGAGGCAGCAGUAGGGAAUCUUGGACAAUGGGGGAAACCCUGAUCCAGCCAUGCCGCGUGAGUGAAGAAGGCCCUAGGGUCGUAAAGCUCUUUCGCCUGUGAUGAUAAUGACAGUAGCAGGUAAAGAAACCCCGGCUAACUCCGUGCCAGCAGCCGCGGUAAUACGGAGGGGGUUAGCGUUGUUCGGAAUUACUGGGCGUAAAGCGCGCGUAGGCGGAUUGGAAAGUUGGGGGUGAAAUCCCGGGGCUCAACCCCGGAACUGCCUUCAAAACUCCCAGUCUAGAGUUCGAGAGAGGUGAGUGGAAUUCCGAGUGUAGAGGUGAAAUUCGUAGAUAUUCGGAAGAACACCAGUGGCGAAGGCGGCUCACUGGCUCGAUACUGACGCUGAGGUGCGAAAGUGUGGGGAGCAAACAGGAUUAGAUACCCUGGUAGUCCACACCGUAAACGAUGAAUGCCAGUCGUCGGAUAGUAUACUAUUCGGUGACACACCUAACGGAUUAAGCAUUCCGCCUGGGGAGUACGGUCGCAAG
rnacentral:rRNA from 1 species